AAAAAUUUAGUUAAAAAAAUAACAUUAGCCUGUCAAGCUAAAAUUAUUAACCUUAUAAUAAUUUUUA
rnacentral:tRNA from 1 species